UCGUGGAGUGAUUUGUCUGCUUAAUUGCGAUAACGAACGAGACCUCUUUCACUAACUAGGCCAUCAGUUUCAUUCAAACUGAUAAAUCUGGCUAGGGCGUGUCUCUAGUUGGAGGCUUCUUAGGGAGACAAUACUUCGUUUAUACUAUAAUUAGAGUAAGGAAGCGAGGCAAUAACA
rnacentral:rRNA from 1 species